GAACGCUAGCUACAGGCUUAACACAUGCAAGUCGAGGGGCAGCAUGGUCUUAGCUUGCUAAGGCCGAUGGCGACCGGCGCACGGGUGAGUAACACGUAUCCAACCUGCCGUCUACUCUUGGACAGCCUUCUGAAAGGAAGAUUAAUACAAGAUGGCAUCAUGAGUCCGCAUGUUCACAUGAUUAAAGGUAUUCCGGUAGACGAUGGGGAUGCGUUCCAUUAGAUAGUAGGCGGGGUAACGGCCCACCUAGUCUUCGAUGGAUAGGGGUUCUGAGAGGAAGGUCCCCCACAUUGGAACUGAGACACGGUCCAAACUCCUACGGGAGGCAGCAGUGAGGAACAUUGGUCAAUGGGCGAGAGCCUGAACCAGCCAAGUGGCGUGAAGGAUGACUGCCCUAUGGGUUGUAAACUUCUUUUAUAAAGGAAUAAAGUCGGGUAUGGAUACCCGUUUGCAUGUACUUUAUGAAUAAGGAUCGGCUAACUCCGUGCCAGCAGCCGCGGUAAUACGGAGGAUCCGAGCGUUAUCCGGAUUUAUUGGGUUUAAAGGGAGCGUAGAUGGAUGUUUAAGUCAGUUGUGAAAGUUUGCGGCUCAACCGUAAAAUUGCAGUUGAUACUGGAUAUCUUGAGUGCAGUUGAGGCAGGCGGAAUUCGUGGUGUAGCGGUGAAAUGCUUAGAUAUCACGAAGAACUCCGAUUGCGAAGGCAGCCUGCUAAGCUGCAACUGACAUUGAGGCUCGAAAGUGUGGGUAUCAAACAGGAUUAGAUACCCUGGUAGUCCACACGGUAAACGAUGAAUACUCGCUGUUUGCGAUAUACUGCAAGCGGCCAAGCGAAAGCGUUAAGUAUUCCACCUGGGGAGUACGCCGGCAACGGUGAAACUCAAAGGAAUUGACGGGGGCCCGCACAAGCGGAGGAACAUGUGGUUUAAUUCGAUGAUACGCGAGGAACCUUACCCGGGCUUAAAUUGCAGAUGAAUUACGGUGAAAGCCGUAAGCCGCAAGGCAUCUGUGAAGGUGCUGCAUGGUUGUCGUCAGCUCGUGCCGUGAGGUGUCGGCUUAAGUGCCAUAACGAGCGCAACCCUUGUUGUCAGUUACUAACAGGUUCCGCUGAGGACUCUGACAAGACUGCCAUCGUAAGAUGUGAGGAAGGUGGGGAUGACGUCAAAUCAGCACGGCCCUUACGUCCGGGGCUACACACGUGUUACAAUGGGGGGUACAGAGGGCCGCUACCACGCGAGUGGAUGCCAAUCCCCAAAACCUCUCUCAGUUCGGACUGGAGUCUGCAACCCGACUCCACGAAGCUGGAUUCGCUAGUAAUCGCGCAUCAGCCACGGCGCGGUGAAUACGUUCCCGGGCCUUGUACACACCGCCCGUCAAGCCAUGGGAGCCGGGGGUACCUGAAGUGCGUAACCGCGAGGAGCGCCCUAGGGUAAAACUGGUGACUGGGGCU
rnacentral:rRNA from 1 species